GAACCGUGCGAACGUUGUUCGGAAUCACUGGGCUUAAAGGGCGCGUAGGCGGCUUGCCAAGUCAGGGGUGAAAUCCUGCAGCUCAACUGUAGAAGUGCCUUUGAUACUGGCGAGCUCGAGGGAGGUAGGGGUGCGCGGAACUUCUGGUGGAGCGGUGAAAUGCGUUGAUAUCAGAAGGAACGCCGGUGGCGAAAGCGGCGCACUGGAUCUCUUCUGACGCUGAGGCGCGAAAGCUAGGGGAGCAAACGGGAUUAGAUACCCCGGUAGUCCUAGCCCUAAACGAUGGGCACUAGAUUGCAGACUGAUCAUGGGUUUGCAGUCGAAGCAAAAGUGUUAAGUGCCCCGCCUGGGGAGUAUGGUCGCAAGGCUGAA
rnacentral:rRNA from 1 species